CACCGCGGUUAUACGAGAAACUCAAAUUAAUAAAAACGGCCUAAAGCGUGAUUAAAUUAUAUUAAAAUAAAUAGAAAUAAAAAUUAACUCAACUGUCGUACGUAUUUGUUAAACGGUGAACCAGAGACGAAAGAUAUUCUAAUAAACAAACUACUUGAACCCACGAAAGCUAAGAA
rnacentral:rRNA from 1 species